AAAAAAGGUAAGCUACUAAGAGCGAAUGGUGGAUGCCUUGACUGGUAAAGGCGAUGAAGGACGUACUAGACUGCGAUAAGCUACGGGGAGCUGUCAAGAAGCUUUGAUCCGUAGAUUUCCGAAUGGGGCAACCCAAUGUAUAGAGAUAUACAUUACCUAUAUAGGAGCGAACGAGGGGAAUUGAAACAUCUUAGUACCCUCAGGAAAAGAAAUCAAUAGAGAUUGCGUCAGUAGCGGCGAGCGAAAGCGCAAGAGGGCAAACCCAGUGCUUGCACUGGGGGUUGUAGGACUGCAAUGUGCAAGAGGUAAGUUUAGCAGAACAUUCUGGAAAGUAUAACCAUAGAGGGUGAUAGUCCCGUAUGCGAAAAACAAACCUUAGCUAGCAGUAUCCUGAGUAGGGCGGGACACGAGGAAUCCUGUCUGAAUCCGGGUCGACCACGAUCCAACCCUAAAUACUAAUACCAGAUCGAUAGUGCACAAGUACCGUGAGGGAAAGGUGAAAAGAACUGAGGUGAUCAGAGUGAAAUAGAACCUGAAACCAUUUGCUUACAAUCAUUCAGAGCCCUAUGUAGCAAUACAGGGUGAUGGACUGCCUUUUGCAUAAUGAGCCUGCGAGUUGUGGUGUCUGGCAAGGUUAAGCAAACGCGAAGCCGUAGCGAAAGCGAGUCUGAAUAGGGCGCUUAGUCAGAUGCUGCAGACCCGAAACGAAGUGAUCUAUCCAUGAGCAAGUUGAAGCUAGUGUAAGAACUAGUGGAGGACUGAACCCAUAGGCGUUGAAAAGCCCCGGGAUGACUUGUGGAUAGGGGUGAAAGGCCAAUCAAACUUCGUGAUAGCUGGUUCUCUCCGAAAUAUAUUUAGGUAUAGCGUUGUGUCGUAAUAUAAGGGGGUAGAGCACUGAAUGGGCUAGGGCAUACACCAAUGUACCAAACCCUAUCAAACUCCGAAUACCUUAUAUGUAAUCACAGCAGUCAGGCGGCGAGUGAUAAAAUCCGUCGUCAAGAGGGAAACAACCCAGACUACCAGCUAAGGUCCCUAAAUCUUACUUAAGUGGAAAACGAUGUGAAGUUACUUAAACAACCAGGAGGUUGGCUUAGAAGCAGCCAUCCUUUAAAGAAAGCGUAAUAGCUCACUGGUCUAGUGAUUUUGCGCGGAAAAUAUAACGGGGCUAAAGUAAGUACCGAAGCUGUAGACUUGCACACAACUUAGAUUAUUUAAGUUUAGAAUAUGAGAAACUAAGUUAUAUGUUUAGUUAUAUUUUUACUGAUUUUUAUAGAGUAAAGAUAGAAAUAAAACUUAGUAAAAUCAGUAAAAAUAUUCUUAGACUAAAGUUAAGUAGUUUAAGUUGUGUGCAAGUGGUAGGAGAGCGUUCUAUUUGCGUCGAAGGUAUACCGGUAAGGAGUGCUGGAGCGAAUAGAAGUGAGCAUGCAGGCAUGAGUAGCGAUAAUUAAUGUGAGAAUCAUUAACGCCGUAAACCCAAGGUUUCCUACGCGAUGCUCGUCAUCGUAGGGUUAGUCGGGUCCUAAGUCGAGUCCGAAAGGGGUAGACGAUGGCAAAUUGGUUAAUAUUCCAAUACCAACAUUAGUGUGCGAUGGAAGGACGCUUAGGGCUAAGGGGGCUAGCGGAUGGAAGUGCUAGUCUAAGGUCGUAGGAGGUUAUACAGGCAAAUCCGUAUAACAAUACUCCGAGAACUGAAAGGCUUUUUGAAGUCUUCGGAUGGAUAGAAGAACCCCUGAUGCCGUCGAGCCAAGAAAAGUUUCUAAGUUUAGCUAAUGUUGCCCGUACCGUAAACCGACACAGGUGGGUGGGAUGAGUAUUCUAAGGCGCGUGGAAGAACUCUCUUUAAGGAACUCUGCAAAAUAGCACCGUAUCUUCGGUAUAAGGUGUGGUUAGCUUUGUAUUAGGAUUUACUCCGAAAGCAAGGAAACUUACAACAAAGAGUCCCUCCCGACUGUUUACCAAAAACACAGCACUCUGCUAACUCGUAAGAGGAUGUAUAGGGUGUGACGCCUGCCCGGUGCUCGAAGGUUAAUUGAUGGGGUUAGCAUUAGCGAAGCUCUUGAUCGAAGCCCGAGUAAACGGCGGCCGUAACUAUAACGGUCCUAAGGUAGCGAAAUUCCUUGUCGGUUAAAUACCGACCUGCAUGAAUGGCGUAACGAGAUGGGAGCUGUCUCAAAGAGGGAUCCAGUGAAAUUGUAGUGGAGGUGAAAAUUCCUCCUACCCGCGGCAAGACGGAGAGACCCCGUGGACCUUUACUACAGCUUGACACUGCUACUUGGAUAAGAAUGUGCAGGAUAGGUGGGAGGCUUUGAGUAUAUGACGCCAGUUGUAUAUGAGCCAUUGUUGAGAUACCACUCUUUCUUAUUUGGGUAGCUAACCAGCUUGAGUUAUCCUCAAGUGGGACAAUGUCUGGUGGGUAGUUUGACUGGGGCGGUCGCCUCCCAAAUAAUAACGGAGGCUUACAAAGGUUGGCUCAGAACGGUUGGAAAUCGUUCGUAGAGUAUAAAGGUAUAAGCCAGCUUAACUGCAAGACAUACAAGUCAAGCAGAGACGAAAGUCGGUCUUAGUGAUCCGGUGGUUCUGUGUGGAAGGGCCAUCGCUCAAAGGAUAAAAGGUACCCCGGGGAUAACAGGCUGAUCUCCCCCAAGAGCUCACAUCGACGGGGAGGUUUGGCACCUCGAUGUCGGCUCAUCGCAUCCUGGGGCUGGAGCAGGUCCCAAGGGUAUGGCUGUUCGCCAUUUAAAGCGGUACGCGAGCUGGGUUCAGAACGUCGUGAGACAGUUCGGUCCCUAUCUGCCGUGGGCGUAAGAAGAUUGAAGAGAUUUGACCCUAGUACGAGAGGACCGGGUUGAACAAACCACUGGUGUAGCUGUUGUUCUGCCAAGAGCAUCGCAGCGUAGCUAAGUUUGGAAAGGAUAAACGCUGAAAGCAUCUAAGCGUGAAGCCAACUCUAAGAUGAAUCUUCUCUAAGCUCUCUAGAAGACUACUAGUUUGAUAGGCUGGGUGUGUAAUGGAUGAAAGUCCUUUAGCUGACCAGUACUAAUAGAGCGUUUGGCUUAUCUUUAAUAAAGCAU
rnacentral:rRNA from 1 species